UACGGAGGAUCCGAGCGUUAUCCGGAUUUAUUGGGUUUAAAGGUGCGCAGGCGGCUUUGUAAGUUAGAGGUGAAAUUUCGGUGCUUAACAUCGAACGUGCCUCUGAUACUGCAGAGCUAGAGACCAGUUGCAGAAGGCGGAAUGUGUAGUGUAGCGGUGAAAUGCUUAGAUAUUACACAGAACACCGAUUGCGAAGGCAGCUUUCUAAGCUGGAUCUGACGCUGAGGCACGAAAGCGUGGGUAGCGAACAGGA
rnacentral:rRNA from 1 species